rnacentral:lncRNA from 1 species
AAAUAUGUAAAAUAGAAUAAAAUAAAUUGAUUUUGACGAUGAUACGAAAAUAAUUAAAUGGGCAAAGAGUAGCCUUCCAACAAACAGUGCUGGAAAAGAAUUAGGCUAUCUCUACCUCUCAUUGUAUACAUUUGACUCAAGGAGUUCCUGUGGUGGCAGAGCAGAAAUGAAUCAGACUAGGAACCAUGAGAUUGCAGGUUUGAUCCCUGGCCUCGCUCAGUGGGUUAAGGAUCUGGCAUUGCCGUGAGCUGUGGUGUAGGUCACAGAUGCAGCUUGGAUCCUGCAUUGCUGCGGCUGUGGUGUAGGCCAUCGGCUGUAGCUCUGAUUCAAACUCUAGCCCUGGAACCUCCACAUGCUGCAGGUGCAGCCCUAAAAAGCAAAAACAAAACAAAUUUAACUCAAGCUGGAGUUCCCAUUGUGGCUUAGCAGUAACAAACCCACCUAAUAUCCAUGAGGAUGUGGGUUCAAUUCCUGGCCUUGCUCAGUGGGUAAAGAAUCUGGCAUUGCCAUGAGCUGCAGUGUAGUUCACAGAUGUGGCUCAGAUCUGGUGUUGCUGUGGCUAUGGCGUAGGUCUGCAGCUACAGCUCUGAAUUGACCCCUAGGCUGGGAACUUCCAUAUGCCACAGGUUUUACCCAAAAAAGACCAAAAAAAAAAAAUUAACUCAAGGUGAAUUAAAGACCUAAGUAUAAGAGCUAAAACCAUAAAUUUGGGGCGGGGGUGGGGGUGGGGGGGCUUGCCCACAGCACGCAGAAGUUCCCAGGGCCAGGGAUAGAACCUGUGCCACAGUAGUAAUGACACUGGAUCCUUAAUCCAUUGAACCACCAGCAAACUCUCCCAUAACACUUUUAGAAGAAAACAUAGGCGUGGAGUUCCCGUCUCAGCGCAGCGGAAAUGAAUCCAGCUAGGAACCAUAAGGUUGCAGGUUUGAUCCCUGGUCUCAUUCAGUGGGUUAAGGAUCCAGCGUUGCCAUGAACUAUGGUGUAGGUCACAGACAAGGCUCGGAUCUGGUGUUGCUGUGGCUGUGGUGUAGAUCGGGAUACAGCUCCGAUUCAUCCCCUAGCCUGGGAACUUCCAUAUGCCACGGGUGCAGCCCUAAGAAACAAACAAACAAAAAAGGAAGAAAACAUAGGUAAAAAAAAUAGAUAAAUUGAAUUUCUCCCAAAUUAAAAAAAAAAAUUGUUUCAAAGGACACCACCAAGAAAGUGAAAAUGAUUAUCUCAACUAAUGCAGAAAAAAAUUGUAUUUUGUCUUUUAUUUUGGCUGUGCCAGUGGCAUGCAAAGGGUCCUAGGCCAGGGAUCAAACACGGGCCCAGGAGUUCCUGUCGUGGCUCAGUGGUUAAUGAAUCCAACUAAGAACCAUGAGGUUGCGGGUUUGAUCCCUGGCCUUGCUUAGUGGGUUAAGGAUCCAGCAUUGCCAUGACCUGUAGUAUAGGUUGCAGACGCAGCUCAGAUCCCACGUUGCUGUGGCUCUGGUGUAGGCCAGCAGCUGUGGCUCCAAUUCGACCCCUAGCCUGGGAACCUCCAUAUGCUGCGGAAGCAGCCCAAGAAAUGGCAGAAAGACAAAAACAAACAAACAAACAAACAAAGAACAAAAAACGAAAAACAAAAAAACACGGGCCCAGGUUUUUAACACUGAGCCACCAGGGAAUUCCAAAAGUUUCUAAAAAAAUGCAACAUUCUUUCACUAUAACACUCAGAAGAGUAAAGUAGUAAAAUACAGGAACUUCUUCAACAUGGCAAAGGGCAUUUAUGAAGAAGCCCUGCCUAACUUUGUGCUCAAUGGUGAAAGAGAGAAAUCUUCCCCCUUAAGACAGGAACAAGACAAGGAUGCCUGCUCUCACCACUGCUAUCCAACAUUGUACUGGAAGUUCUAGACUGAACAAUUAGAUGAAAUGAAAGGCAUCCAGAUCAGAAAGGAAGAAAAGUGUUUGCAGAUGAUAUGAACUUAUAUAGAGAAAACCCCCAGGGAACCCACAAGAAAUUAAUCCACAAGAAAACCACUAGCACUAAUAAAUGAAGUUGAACAAAUCUGCAAGGUAGAACAUCAACCCACAAAAAUCAGCUGUGGGGAUAAGCAAUGAGGUCCUGCUAUACAACACAGUGAACUAUAUCCAAUCACUUGUGAUAGAACAUGAUGGAAGAUAAUGAGAAAAAAAUGUGUAUAUAUGUAUUUUAUACAUAUAUGUAUGACUCAGUCACUUUGCUGUACAGCAGAAGUUGACAGAACACUGUAAACCAACUGUAACAAAAAAUUUAAAACAAACAAAAACGACAAUGACAAAAAAUCAGUUGUAGGAGAGUUUCAGUUGUGGCUCAGAGGGUUGCAAACCCAACAGGUAUCCUUGAGGAUGUGGGUUCAGUCCCUGGUCUCACUCAGAGGGUUAAGGAUACAGCAUUGCUGCAGCUGUGGCAUAGGUUACAAUUGAGGUUUGGAUCUGAUCCCUGGCCUGGGAAAUCCAUAUGCUGUGGGGCAG